GACGAACGCUGGCGGCGUGCUUAACACAUGCAAGUCGAACGGAAAGGCCCUGCUUUUGUGGGGUGCUCGAUUGGCGAACGGGUGAGUAACACGUGAGUAACCUGCCCCUGACUUUGGGAUAACUUCAGGAAACUGGGGCUAAUACCGGAUAUGAGCUCCUGCUGCAUGGUGGGGGAUGGAAAGUUUCGGCGGUUGGGGAUGGACUCGCGGCUUAUCAGCUUGUUUGUGGGGUAGUGGCUUACCAAGGCUUUGACGGGUAGCCGGCCUGAGAGGGUGACCGGCCACAUUGGGACUGCGAUACGGCCCAGACUCCUACGGGAGGCAGCAGUGGGGAAUAUUGCACAAUGGGCGGAAGCCUGAUGCAGCAACGCCGCGUGCGGGAUGACGGCCUUCGGGUUGUAAACCGCUUUCGCCUGUGACGAAGCGUGAGUGACGGUAAUGGGUAAAGAAGCACCGGCUAACUACGUG
rnacentral:rRNA from 1 species